rnacentral:tRNA from 1 species
AAUUAAAUAACUUAAAAUAAAGUAUUGAUCUUUUAAAUCAAAAAUAGUUUUUUAACUUUUAAUUA